rnacentral:misc_RNA from 1 species
GGAAAUAUAUAGAGGCAAAAGAAACUUCGCUAUAGCUAUUUUCAGCUCAAUUCUUCCUCUUCCAGCACCACCACCGCGGCGGCCACCAAUUUUCUCUCUCAAGUGUGAGAAAACCUGUUAAAAACGGAGCCCAGAAAAUUAUACUACAAAACCCAGAACUGAAGUAAAAGAAAAGGAGGCUAAAGUCUUUUAUAUUACAAGAAAGGGGAGGAAUGAAAUGUUAGGAGCCAACGGAAAAAUUCUUUCUUUUUGAGGUGUGUGUGAUCUUCGGUAAUUAUGGGGGUUCCCGGAGCUAUUGGAGUAGGAGGCGUAGGUGCUGCUGCUGGUGGUUCCAAUGGUACAACUGCGGGGAGCUGCUGCUGGGACGUAAACUUGAAGUGCUUGUUUAGGUGGAGAUGGGAGUACCAACAGCACUUUCUUCACCACAGAUUUUUCUCGUCCGGUUUGAUGUUCUUCUUAUGCUGCUUGGUUUUGUAUGGAUCGAUUGGCAUGCUGUUUGGUUGGCUUAUGUUUAAUAAGUCUUAUGUGAGUGCUGGUUCGGUUGUUGGGUUGAACUCGGUCGGGUGUCAGGAGGACAAUGAGGGUUCAUGGUCGAUUGGUCUUUUCUAUGGUGACUCCCCCUUCUCUUUGAAGCCAAUUGAAGCUAUGAAUGUUUGGAAAAAUGAGAGUGCAGCGUGGCCAGUGGCUAACCCAGUUGUCACCUGUGCUUCGGUCUCAGAUGCUGGUUUCCUCAGUAAUUUCGUUGCUGAUCCUUUUCUUUAUGUUCAGGGAGAUACUAUUUACCUGUUUUAUGAAACUAAGAAUUCAAUCACCAUGCAAGGAGAUAUUGGAGUUGCAAAAAGUACGGAUAAGGGAGCAACAUGGCAGCAAUUGGGCAUUGCCUUGGAUGAGGACUGGCAUCUCUCUUAUCCCUAUGUGUUCAACCAUCUUGACAAAAUAUACAUGAUACCUGAGGGCAGUGCAAAGGGGGAACUUCGCCUUUAUCGAGCAGUUAAUUUUCCACUGCAGUGGACGCUGGAGAAAGUUAUUAUAAAAAAGCCACUUGUUGAUUCCUUUAUCAUUAAACAUGGAGGAGAAUACUGGCUUUUUGGUUCAGAUCAUAGUGGCUUUGGAACUAAGAAAAAUGGACAGCUGGAAAUCUGGCAUAGCAGUUCACCUCUGGGUCCUUGGAAGCCACACAAGAAGAAUCCAAUUUAUAACAUUGACAAAAGCUUGGGAGCUAGAAAUGGAGGCAGACCGUUUUUGUAUGAAGGAAACCUUUAUCGCAUUGGUCAGGAUUGUGGCGAAACAUAUGGACGACGAGUGCGAGUAUUCAAGGUGGAAGUUCUUACCAAGGAUGAUUAUAAAGAAGUUGAAGUCUCCUUUGGCUUUGAAGAGCCCAGAAAGGGAAGGAAUGCUUGGAAUGGUGCUCGUUACCAUCAUCUUGAUGUGCAGCAGUUAAGUUCUGGGAAAUGGCUUGCUGUUAUGGAUGGGGACCGUGUACCUUCUGGAGAUUCAGUCCGUCGGUUUAUUCUUGGCUAUGCUUCACUUGCAGCGGUCACUGCAAUUGUUGUGGUGUUGGGUGUGCUGCUGGGAGCUGUGAAAUGUAUUAUUCCCCUCAACUGGUGUGCUUAUUACUCAGGGAAGAGGAGUGAUUCUCUCUUGGUCUGGGAAAGGCCGAAUGCAUUUUCUUCAAAGGUAAGACGUUUUUGUGGCCGUUUGAACAGAGUAGCUUCAACUCUCCGAGUGAAAAUAAGGCCUAAUACUUGGGCUGGAAGAUUGGUUUUGGCUGUGAUAUUUACUAUUGGAGUUGCGCUAAUUUGUGCAAGUGUUAAAUAUAUCUAUGGAGGUAAUGGUGCUGAAGAACCUUAUCCAUUAAAGGGUUCCUACUCUCAGUUCACUCUAUUGACAAUGACAUAUGAUGCUCGCCUCUGGAAUUUGAAGAUGUAUGUUAAGCAUUACUCGAGGUGUUCUUCGAUUAAAGAGAUUGUUGUGGUUUGGAAUAAAGGGACACCGCCCAAAUUGAGUGAUCUGGACUCUGUGGUGCCUGUGAGGAUCAGAGUAGAAAAUCAGAAUUCAUUGAACAAUCGGUUCAAAAUGGAUGAAUUGAUUAAAACCCGUGCUGUACUUGAGCUUGAUGAUGACAUUAUGAUGACUUGUGAUGACAUUGAACGGGGAUUCAAUGUAUGGCGCCAACAUCCAGACCGGAUUGUUGGAUUCUAUCCUCGACUCAUAAGUGGAAGCCCGUUGAAAUACAGGGGUGAGAAAUAUGCCCGAAAACAUAAAGGUUAUAACAUGAUUCUUACUGGGGCAGCAUUCAUGGACAGCAAAUUGGCUUUCGAGAGGUAUUGGGGUGAGGAAGCUAAGGCUGGGAGGGAAGUGGUGGAUAAAUAUUUUAACUGCGAGGAUGUGCUAUUGAAUUACUUGUAUGCUAAUGCAAGUACAUCUGCUACAGUUGAAUAUGUGAGACCAACAUGGGCAAUAGAUACAUCAAAAUUCUCAGGUGCUGCAAUUAGCCGAAAUACGCAAGUACAUUACAAGAUAAGAAGUAGUUGCCUCCAGAAAUUUUCGGAGAUGUAUGGAAGUUUAGGUGGCCGGAAGUUGGAAUUUGACCGGCGAAAGGAUGGCUGGGAUUUAUAGAGAAGAACUAAUUCUGAAAGCCAUCGAGUCUCAUACUCCUCAAUCUGUGUAUCUUCUCAUCCUUCUGGUAGAUUCUUGUCUUGUUACAAUAGUUUUAUAACGCUGCUUGUGAAGAUUUUUGUGGUGGGGGAAUGACAAUAUCAAUAUCUUUGUUUGGCAAGAUGUAAAUUAAUUAUCCAUUUAGCUAUCUUGAGAGUUUAUAUAUGUAGAUUGGUUUUUGUCAUGCCCUUUCUUCUGAAACAUUUUUGUGAAAGUUGAUAGAUCAGAAAUGAAAAUUGGUUUGAUCAUUUGUGUUUCUGUAUAUUCCACUCUUUCAACUCUUU